AGCUUGCUGGUCUAGUGGUAUGAUUCUCGCUUUGGGUGCGAGAGGUCAUGGGUUCGAUUCCCGUGCAAGCCC
rnacentral:tRNA from 1 species